rnacentral:rRNA from 1 species
UACGGAGGGGGCAAGCGUUGUUCGGAGUCACUGGGCGUAAAGGGCGCGUAGGCGGUGCGUAAAGUCAGGCGUGAAAGCCCCGGGCUUAACCUGGGAAUUGCGCUUGAUACUGACGUGCUAGAGAACGGGAGAGGAUGGCGGAAUUCCCAGUGUAGAGGUGAAAUUCGUAGAUAUUGGGAAGAACACCGGUGGCGAAGGCGGCCAUCUGGACCGUUUCUGACGCUGAGGCGCGAAAGCCAGGGGAGCAAACGGG